rnacentral:lncRNA from 1 species
AAAGUGGUGAUAUAGCACUAAAAUUUUCGAUCAGAAAUAUAGAUCUUGUUGUAGAUAGUAUAAAAAAUUUUCUAUCAAAAUUUCAUCUAAUUUGAAUACUUCUACACCGUUAAACUUGAAAACGGCAGAUAUCAACCAUUAAAAAUUAUAGAUUUUGAAUCCUUUUGAUCACUAGGUAAAUGAUAUCGAAAAAUCGCAAAAAUUAUUUUCUAGAAACUUCAAAUGCGCUAGAUCAAGUCUAACGGAGCCGAUCAUCGAUUCGAAAAUUCUAUCAUCGAAAACAGCUCAGGAGCACGGAGGCCUCCGUGCUCCUGAGAGCACAGCGGCCCUGCUCUAUAUAUAUAUA